CCCCUGUUUUACUCCACAUGAUUAGGGUAAGACACUGGCUAGUGUGACCCACGUUUUUUGUUAAAUAGAGAGGACACACAUCUUUUCUUCUUUUGCAAGGCUGAAUAAUAUUUCGUUGUGUAUCUGUACCACAUUUUUUUUAUCCAUUCAUCUGUCUAUGGGCAUUUACAUUGCUUCCGUAUCUUGGCUAUUUUGAAUAAUGCUGCAAUGAACACGAGAAUGCAGAUUUCUCUUUGAAGUAUUGAUUGCAUU
rnacentral:lncRNA from 1 species